ensembl:processed_transcript
UAUUUCUCAUUUUGUUUCAUAUAUAAUGUGUCUAAUUUCAUUUAUACAUUUAUUUUAAUCCUCCAAUACACUCAUAGAUCUCCUCACCCAGUUUAUAAAAUGGUUUCAAUGUAAGAAAGCUUACCUGUUGUGUUUUUCUCAAGUGCUGUACCGGCAUCGGAAACCACAGUCCAGUCCUCCUCUCUAGUGGCUGCUGACAGACUCACCGGUUGUGUUUUUCUCCACAUUAUUAUCAGUAGCGGGUUCACCGGCAUCCGAAACCACAGUCCAGUCCUCCUCGUCCAGCCAGGGACAGAAGUUACUGCAGAAGCUGAUGGUCUCAAAAGAUGAACCUGAAAAACAAAAUCAGUCAUGAGGGUCAAUUUUCAGAAACUUUCUGAACUAUUCAUAACAAAACAUCUCCAUGGAAAAUGAUGAACUAUUCCUCAAUACACUGAAGAUUGCUGCAUGAAAGAAAAUAUUUGACUCAGGCAAUGUAUUCUUGGCUCUUCCUAAA